GCCAACAGGCGCGCGUCAAAUGAAAAGCUUUUGAGACCGUGGCAAUCAGCUGUUUCACGGAUGUCCCCAGUUGGCCAUGAAAACCCAGCACACACACAUACACGCGCGGAUAGAAAUGAAAGGAAUGUGAGUUCUAGGAUAUAUUCUACGCACCAUUCUGCUCGUUCUCGAUGCAUUUCUUAUCGGGCAUUAUUCACAAAGCGAUGAAGGUUCUGCGACAGCUGUUUUGCGCCAGGUUAAGCGAAAAAUGCACUGUUUCAGCGACAAUGGGAGAUUGGGAUUAGCAGCCGCAGAGCGCCGCAUCUGGCGAAAUUGAGCGAGCGAAUGGAACUGAGCGCCGUACAACAUGGCGUAUGCGUCUAUUACAACCGGUGCGUGCCCACACACAUACACCCAUCUUUUUCGAGAGAGCGCAAGAGAGAGCCAAGGAUGGAAAUGAUGCGCAGUUAAGUUGAUGCCACAAGGAAAAGCUUUUCGGGAUGCGCUUUCCUCUCUUUUCGGAAUCAGCUGUUUUCGAUAGGUAAUUUCCAUAGCGUUUUUAAAUACGUCAUAUUGCAAUUUUAGAUAUGUAAGAUGUCACACAGAGCGAAAAUUUGAAUAAUAAGUAUUCGUCUAUAUACACACAUUUUCAGCAUAU